rnacentral:rRNA from 1 species
GGCUCAGAACGAACGCUGGCGGCGCGCCUAAUACAUGCAAGUCGAGCGAGAAGGUGUAGCAAUACACUUGUAAAGCGGCGAACGGGUGAGGAAUGCAUGGGUAACCUACCCUCGAGUGGGGAAUAACUAGCCGAAAGGUUAGCUAAUACCGCAUACGUUUCCGGGACUUCGGUUCCGGAAAGAAAGCAAUACCGUGGGUAUUGCGCUCAUGGAUGGGCUCAUGUCCUAUCAGCUUGUUGGUGAGGUAACGGCUCACCAAGGCUUCGACGGGUAGCUGGUCUGAGAGGACGAUCAGCCACACUGGCACUGCGACACGGGCCAGACUCCUACGGGAGGCAGCAGUAAGGAAUAUUGCGCAAUGGACGAAAGUCUGACGCAGCGACGCCGCGUGGGGGAUGAAGGUCUUCGGAUUGUAAACCCCCUUCGGGAGGGAAGAUGGAGUGGGUAACCACUUGGACGGUACCUCCAGAAGCAGCCACGGCUAACUUCGUGCCAGCAGCCGCGGUAAUACGAAGGUGGCAAGCGUUGUUCGGAUUCACUGGGCGUACAGGGAGCGUAGGCGGUUGGGUAAGCCCUCCGUGAAAUCUCCGGGCCUAACCCGGAAAGUGCAGAGGGGACUGCUCAGCUAGAGGAUGGGAGAGGAGCGCGGAAUUCCCGGUGUAGCGGUGAAAUGCGUAGAGA